rnacentral:rRNA from 1 species
UACGUAGGGGUCAAGCGUUGUCCGGAUUGAUUGGGCGUAAAGAGCGUGUAGGCGGCCAGGUAGGUCUGCUGUGAAAACUCGAGGCUUAACCUCGAGCUGUCGGCGGAAACCAUCAGACUAGAGUCCGGAAGAGGAGAGUGGAAUUCCUGGUGUAGCGGUGAAAUGCGCAGAUAUCAGGAAGAACACCCGUGGCGAAGGCGGCUCUCUGGGACGGUACUGACGCUGAGACGCGAAAGCGUGGGGAGCGAACAGG